rnacentral:rRNA from 1 species
UACGUAAGUGGCGAGCGUUAUCCGGAAUUACUGGGCGUAAAGCGUUCGUAGGCGGUGCGGUAAGUUAGGUUUGAAAGCCCGGGGCUUAACCCCGGGCCUGCAGCCGAUACGGGCAGACUAGAGUUCGGCAGGGGAGACUGGAAUUCCUGGUGUAGCGGUGAAAUGCGCAGAUAUCAGGAGGAACACCGGUGGCGAAGGCGGGUCUCUGGGCCGAUACUGACGCUGAGGAGCGAAAGCGUGGGGAGCGAACAGG